AACGCGGGCGGCGCGCUUAACACAUGCAAGUCGAGCGAGAAAGGGGAGCAAUCCCCGAGUAAAGCGGCGCACGGGUGAGUAACACGUGGGGAAUCUACCUCUGGGUGGGGAAUAACUCUGGGAAACCGGAGCUAAUACCGCAUAAGCCUGGAAAGGGAAAGCCGAAAGGCGCCGGGAGAGGACCCCGCGGCCGAUUAGCUAGUUGGUGAGGUAACGGCUCACCAAGGCGAAGAUCGGUAGCCGGCCUGAGAGGGCACACGGCCACACUGGCACUGAAACACGGGCCAGACUCCUACGGGAGGCAGCAGUGGGGAAUCUUGCACAAUGGGGGAAACCCUGAUGCAGCGACGCCGCGUGAGCGAUGAAGCCCUUCGGGGCGUAAAGCUCUUUCGGCCCGAACGAUAAUGACGGUACGGGAAGAAGAAGCUGCGGCUAACUACGUGCCAGCAGCCGCGGUAAUACGUAGGCAGCAAGCGUUGUUCGGAGUUACUGGGCGUAAAGAGUGCGUAGGCGGUGUCGCAAGUUUGGUGUGAAAUCUCCCGGCUUAACUGGGAGGGUGCGCCGAAAACUGCGACGCUGGAGUGUGGGAAAGGCAAGCGGAAUUCCUGGUGUAGCGGUGAAAUGCGUAGAUAUCAGGAGGAACACCGGCGGUGUAGACGGCUUGCUAGACCAUAACUGACGCUGAGGCACGAAAGCGUGGGUAGCAAACAGGAUUAGAUACCCUGGUAGUCCACGCCCUAAACGAUGCAUACUUGGUGUGGGCAGUUCAUUCUGUCCGUGCCGGAGCUAACGCGUUAAGUAUGCCGCCUGGGGAGUACGGUCGCAGGCUGAAACUC
rnacentral:rRNA from 1 species